ensembl:lncRNA
UAGAAACCCAUCCCCGGCUCCCACCUCCGCCUGGACGCGGCUGAAGCCUAGGUCUUUGGACACAGUGACCCUUCCCGGACAGCGGUGGCCCACAGUGGCUCGUGGGGCCCGGGGAUCUCCCCGGAGACACAGCUCUUGCUCUGCACUCUUCCUCCCUCCCUGAGGGAUCCCAAGGUACCUAGAAAGUUCCCUGCCGCACGGGCUCCCUUCCAACAGCUUUGAGACCUUGCAGGCCUCCUACCCUCACCUGGGCCUCCACCUUCCUGUUCAGGGAGCCGAGGCCACAGGUGCAGCACAUGCUCCCUCCCUGCAGGCCCCGGGCUGCAAGCCUGCAAGGCAGCCGGAAGAGGCCGAGGAGGAAGGGGAUCCCGGAGGCCAGAGGACAUCCUGGGCGCAGAGCCAUGAAAAAGCUGGAGUGAGUUCAGGGAAGAGUGAUAAAGAAGGGAGUUCUGGAAGAAGCCAGAGGAAGGCUGCCUUGCUGAGCUGACCAGGUUCACCUCGCCACAGCGUCUGCGUUCGUGGGUCCCUCAGCUCUUCACAAACAGACCCCCACCGCUCCCUUUGUCACUUUGCAUCACGCGCGGCUGCUUUGGGGAUAUCGACUGAUUAUCCUCGGCUGGGGUCGUGGGGCUCCCUCCCACCACCGGGCCUUUGCACGUGCCACUGGCUUUGCCGAGAGUGCCUUUCCUUUCACUCUGGGCCUCGGCGGAUUAAGCACAAGACCGGCCCUGCCCCUUUCUCCCGGAAACCUUCACAAGCCCCUCCUUGAGGUGGUGACGCGUCCCUCCUCUGGCUGUGGCAGUCUCUGUUCACUUCUGUCACACACUAUGGCGACCCGUGCUUGCGGGAACUGUACAGACGGGGACUCUGGCUUUGUCUUAGUCAUCCUUGUAGCCCACGGCCUUUACGUUGUGCAGGGCAAGGAACCCAACAACCAUGACUCAAUAAAUACCUAUUAAUGAAAUACAAAUAUCCAAGGAAUCAAUUUGCUACGUCACCUUCUCCGGGAAGACUUCUGUGAUCCUUCCAACCUGGGAGGCUUUUCUGCACACGGGCUUCCUUCCCAUUCUGUCUGUGCCUCCUUUUUCCCCCGACCCCUUUCUCCUUUUCUGUUCCACGGCGGGUAGCUGGGCACUUAGGAAGUGCUCGGUAAGCGGUCACCGAAUGACAGUUAGUGGAAAACUGAACUGAUUUUGUUUACAGCAGCAUAGAAAGAAUCAUUCUGGGAUAUUCCGGGUACUGGCAUCUUUUUUUUUUUUUUUUUUGUCCUUAUGUUGUCAAAACCGAUAUUCCAAAUGUCCCCUAACAUUCCACAGAACAGCAUUAAUUCUGAGACCCGAUCGCCUGUCUGGGUAAUGUAUUUACCUUUCACUGGUUGUCCAGGCUCACGGCAUUUGCUAGUUAUUGUUGUCUGUCGUUGUUGUCUUGAGGCCCGUAGAAUUUUCGGAGCCUAGAAUGUGAGGGUUGGUGGAGCCCUGAAAGGUCGCCUAGUGUUUUUCAGGCCGCCUCAUGUUAUAGACCAGGAAACCAAGGUCUAGAAAACCAAAAUAUUUCAUGAGGACAAGUCAGAGGCCAAUGAAGCGGGUCUCAUCUGUC